rnacentral:lncRNA from 1 species
AUUGUACUGAUGAGGAAGCUGACGUUAAGAGCAGUAAAUUGCCUGCUUCAAACAGCUUAUAAAUGGCAGAGCAAGGAUCUAAGAAAUCAAGGGGAUUUUAAAAUUCUACCCCUUAACUCUAAUUCAUAGUUGAGUCAUGAGGAGGCUGAAUAAUUGCAUACUCUACACUUAUCCUCAUUCUGCUUUUAAUUUAUGUAAGUGUUUACUGACCUUGCUUUAAGCUUCCUGAAACCAGACGGCACAACUUAGAGGGAAGAAAUCUCAGAAUGAAUAUAGGGCUCUUCUUGUAGUCUGGCCAAUGGAUCUGCUGGGUAAGUGGCAGAAUCCCUCACUUACUUAGUAGAUAAAGCUCUCCAUGAGGACAUACUGAAAGCCCCUAGCUAGUCCCUAGAGGAGAAUCUCUCAGCUGAUGACACCCAGGAAUCAUCUCACCAAUGAGACCCUUUAAGACUUAGAAGCUCCUUACCAGCGGAACAUCCUGCAGGUGUGACCCAGCAGGAGGGAACUCACUCUACUGAGAAGCAUUUUCAUCCUAGAUUCUAUCCAGUUACUUAUGAAGACUGAAAUCCAGAUAAUAAGACUUGGUGUGCCCCAGCAGUAAAGCCCUGCAGUGACGUGCUCAAGGCAAAAGGUCAAUGAGACACAGAGAGCACUUAUAGCCAGAUUUUGGAUUUCAACACAGAUUACCAGUCUCAAGAGAUGACAUUAUGAAUCUCUGUGCUAUGCUGCCUCUCAAAUGUGCACCGAAUGUUCAAGGAGGUUGAAGUAAACCAGGAAGAAUGGAGCAAAGACAUGGAUACAUUAAGCUAUUUUAUUGUUCCAUUUCAUUCUGCUUAUAGAAAAAGUUUUCAACCUUCAUUUUAUAAAUCAGAGACAAGUUUAUGGCUACAAGUUCACUAAAGCCUGGAGAUUAUCAACACACAUACACACACAUAAUAGUUUCAUUUUUAAUGAUGUAUCACAUAUAAUUGGAAGUUAUUAAAGCUCAGAUACCAAAGCUCAGUAUCUUCUUUUUCAAAAUUAGUGGCUUCAGUGUUCCUGUUACCAAAUGAUUCAUUUUGCUCUUCAUUCAAAGAUGAAAGCUUCUACUUGGAAGUGGGAAAGAUAACUGAGAAAAUGUUAUUCAGGUCCCUCAUCAUAAAAUUGAAUAGGGUCACAUAAUUGGAAAGUUAUUUAAGCAUAGCACAAUCAGAUGCCAUGGUUAUCUUCCUGCUUGCUAACCCAGGUUAUUUCACAGUGGAAAGUAUGCUAGUCUGGAAAGGGACAGAGGAAAAGAAGUCUUAUGAAAGAAAUCAUUUUGCAAUGGCAAGUAUACCAAUGCCCUCAGGAAACUGUAGCAACAAUCAGGAUUUAAUCCAACUAAAGCAAAUAUUGCAGGACACAGGAAGGUAAUGUCAAAUACAAGACUUUAUUGGAUUGGCCUCUGAAAUAGAUAAAUGUGCAAAUGCAAAACUGAUGAAAAGAAAUAAGUUUGCUACCUACCAUUAAAUGGAUCAAUAUCAAUCUGCUAACUUUAAUCUUUUUAUGGUAGUUUUCAUUAUAAGACAUGACCUGUGUUUUUCUAACAAUCUACCAUCAAAAGACUAGCUUUGAGUGAAAUUAAGGUUUACCUUUACAAAUUAUUAACACACCUGCCCCUGAAUAUUAACUCAAAGCAAAUUUGUCAUUUCCCUCAAAGGCUGCUGACAUUCAUGGCCUUUCAAGAUCCUUAUAUUUCUAUCAUUCUAUUCAGCUUAAAAUAGUCUGAAGGUUUUCUUUAAAUGAGCAGAAAGUAUAGCAGAAAUUCACGAGCUUUAGUAAAUCUUUAGAAUUCAGAUGAACUCUUAUGUAUUGCUUUAUGGAAAAAUAGCUUCCCAAAGUCACUUUCAUACUUGGUGUCAAUAUUCUCAUUCUUACUCACCCAGGGGCUACUUGGAGAACAGAGUUAACAAAUGUCCACAUAGAGAAGUUUCUUGUAAGGAACUACAAUGGAGGAUAGAAAUGAAGUGGAAACAAAAGGAAGAACUACAUGACAUUUUUUUUUUUAAAUAUCUCAUUUUAAUAGAAUAUUGAAAAAGCUUAUUUAGUAUAAUAAAGAAUGGGAAUUUUUGCACAGAUAAUUUGAUCCACUCUUCCUAUUCUCAAAUAUAAUUUCCUCAUGUGAUAUCUUUCUCCAAAGUGGGGAGCAAUAGCAGAGCUUUUUUAUUAAGGGGAGAGAAUCUUUUUUGUGUAGGUAAAAUAGUCCAUUGGUGUGGCAGAAGCCAGGAUAACCAACCAACUUGUGUAUUUCAAUCUUCUGUUCUGAGACCAACAUUGUUUUCCAUCCCUAAUAUUUGAAGAAACUUCCCAUGAUGGCACAGACCUAC